rnacentral:rRNA from 1 species
AGGAUCCGAGCGUUAUCCGGAUUUAUUGGGUUUAAAGGGUGCGUAGGCGGAAAGAUAAGUCAGCCUGUGAAAGUUUGCGGCUCAACCGUAAAAUUGCAGUUGAUACUGUUUUUCUUGAGUGUACAUAAGGUAGGCGGAAUUCGUGGUGUAGCGGUGAAAUGCUUAGAUAUCACGAAGAACUCCGAUUGCGAAGGCAGCUUACCGGGGUACAACUGACGCUGAUGCACGAAAGUGUGGGUAUCAAACAGGA